rnacentral:lncRNA from 1 species
GAUUAAUAUAUGUUUUUGUUCUCUUCAAAUUUUCUAUUGUUUCCUUACUAUUAUUUCCGUAUGCCUUCCAUGUGUUCCAUCUUCGGGUUCUCACGGCUAAAUUGUAAUCAUGAUGAAGCUGUUCUGGAGACAAUAACGGAGUUUAUCAAAGUGGGUGGUAGGGGAAAGUUUCAUUCUGCCUUAUAUCACAAGCUUCUUCAUUCCAUUGUGAGUAGUAACUUCUAAAUUUAUUCUGCCUAUUGCUAAUUUUAUUUUGUGUCGAGAUUGGUGACACUGAAGCCUGCUUAGUGCCACUGCCAAGCUGUUCUGCAUAAGGACUGCUUUUUUUUGUAGGGAGAAUGACAUGAAUUGAGCGAGAGUUGAACAUAAACUUAAUCAGAGCCUUUAUCAUUUCACUGUUGAAUCUUUCAUACUUGUAGUUGAUCCUAGGUAAAUAUGGGAUAAGACAUUGAUGAAUUAUGUUGAUUAUAAACACCUAUUAGAUAUGAUUUCCACGAGUGCAUACCUCUAAGAGUUGGUAAUUUGUCUCAGUGGAUCUAGGCUUCUUCUUGCUCUUUAGGUGACAAAAUAUUUGGCCGCUCACUAUUUUAAAUAGUAUUAUUGUGUGUUGAAUUACUAUUUACAGGUUAUAACGAGUGAAGCUGAUGGUGUAUAAUUAAGUUUAUGAACCAUUUUUUUCAGAUAGUUUGAUUCUAUUAUAUCAAUUUAUUUCAUGUAGCAGCAUUUCUAAUUGGAUUUCUUCAAAUUUUCCCCUUUUCUAUUCUGGAAAACCAAGUGAUGGGAGAUAAAAUUUAUUCUCUUUUUGUCUAUGAUUAAUGUAAUUGGAUAGUUUUUGUCUAUAUUAUUAAAUGGCUCAUAAUAGCCAAGUUUUAUACCUAGAUAAUUAUGCUUUGUGGUAUUAAGUUUUGAUCACCAAGUGAAGUUUUUAGGACAAGGUUGUAGCUCACCUCUUUUUCAGGGAGAGUUUAUGCCUGUUGGGCAUUUCAACUUGACAUCACUUCACGCCCAAAACAAAAAGAAGGAGCUGCAUGAAAUAAUGAUAAGAUAGACUUGAGAUUAUACUAGGAUUGAUCAAUUGAAGUUAAUGCUAAGUUAAGGUUUAAAAGAUUUGUAUGGUUGUGGUAUGUCUUGUAAAGACAUCCAAGUUAGAAGAGUGAUGUGAACCGAUAUACAUUAUAAAAGGGAGAGGUAUACUGAAAUUAAUUUGACCUGGUGCAAAGAUUUUAAAUUAUUGGACGUUAAAAUAGAUGUCCACUUGAAUCAUGUAUGUCAUGAAUAAAGCUUGUCAUUAACUAAUAAUUGGACGUUUAAAUAAAUGUACAGUUGGAUCAUGUAAAUCAUGAAUAAAGCUUAUCGUGUACUAAUAAUUGGGUUAUCAAAGUAAAAAUAAGACAUUUCGUGCAUUAGGUCAGAUUAUUUCUAAACUACAUGUGCUUGCAGGUCCACUUUACGUUGACCAUUGACGAUUCUUUAUUGGAUUUGCUUGCAUUAAAGUAUUUCAAUUACAUUUAUGUCCGGUAUGAAUCAUUUAUUCUUAAGCGCGUGUUAACUAAGUUUGUUUACACUGUACUGUCAAUAUGUUUCCUAUAGAUUCUAUUUAUAAUGUGAAUGAAUCACUUCACGCUUCUUUUUGGAUUUGCGUUGCUAAGAUAUUACCAAAAACAGAUUGCUAGACUGGGAUGAGCUACAUACUGUUCCAAGAAAUAUUACCUUUUAUUGUUUCCCUUUCAAUAGAAAUAUUUGUUCCACGGUGGGACAAAUAUUCUUUGAACUACUGUAGUCUCUAAGAAACAAUACGUUGGUUCAACUUAUUUGUUCAGUAUUUUACUUACAUUAUCCUGGACCUGGACAAGCUGGUCCGAAUUUUGGAGGCAAAAGGUAUCUCUCCUAGUCCUACUUCUUGAUCUUGGUGGUGAUCUUUUUACCUAAGAAAAUACACAAAGACCUCCUCUCCUUUAUUGGAAGUACAUAUAGUUAUAUAUCUUUUCGACGUAAAAAUUUAUUUUCCCCAGAGAAGACGAGAGAAAUUCAGACAUCUAUGGUGAUAGCCAGUCGAGAACAAGGUUAGUAUAGUUUGGGUCAUGGACACAUUGGACCUUUCAAUUUGGCAUUUUAUUAUUGAUAAUGUUUUUGGAAAAAUAAAUUGAUGUGAUUGCAAUAGCUCCCAAGUCAAUUGGGAGACCCAGUGUUGACCUAUUUCUUUGGACCCACUGCUUCACCAUUUAUAUUUUGAGAAUUAGAGCUGCAGACCAAAAUGAUGCCUCUAGUUGUUUCUAAGUCUUACAACAUGGACACACACAAAUACCCCAAGAUCUAAUACCCACCAAUAAAUGACUCCUGAUAUCAAACAUUCUGCCUUGUCCCUCAAUGCUGAAAAAUCUGCUCUUCACAUUCUUAAAGUUGCUAUUGUGUAAACUCAGUAUGUUUGCCUGGAAGAAUGAGCCAUUCUUUUAGCAUAGAAGUGACUUAGCAUUCUUGAGGUUGAACUUUCUUUCUCUUCCAGAUAGUAUUGUGGUGCAUUUGUAUUGUUUUCCUUUUCCUGGGGUGCGGUGGGUUCGAGGGAGUAUUUAAGAUUUUGAUAAGUGUAUAUGUAUGUUUACAUUGUUCAUGCACUUCAAAUCACCCUAGUUGUUGAGAAUACUCGGCUAUUAUUAUGUCAGAGUGCUACUACUUCUAGAUUGAAGCAAUGAAGUUCGUUGUCAAUUUACUUCACGGAUAGGGAUGGCAACAGGCAGGGGCGGAUCCGGAUACUUUGGGUUAGGGGGUCAUAAUCAAACAUUCAAACGGAAGGUAAAUUGUAAAUGGUAAUGACAGUAUGUAAUCGACAGAUUGGAAGAGAAAGACAAAGGCACAAAAUUGAGCUUGGAACUGUCAGCUGCAUAAUAUAUUUAUAGUGUAGGUUUUAAACUUUAACAUUUUAAAACAAAAAAAAUCAGAAAAAAGUAGAAACUGGGGGGUCAACUAUAGGACCCCCCAGGUCGGCCCCUGUCAACACGGUGGGUUGGCGUGCCCCUUGCCCUACCCUGCUAGGGAUUUUAUUAUCUCAUUGUAUUUUUUUCCCUAUAAAUUAAAUUAGGUAUUUUAAUAUUAAAGCUAUGUUUGAGUCCCAUUUUUUUUGAGGAAAAUAGAUUUUCUAAUAGUUAUUUUAUUAUUAUUAUUAUUAUUAUUUUUGUUGUAAAUUAUGUUGUUAUAAAAUAGGAAAGUUUUGGAUUUACGUACAAAAGAAGUUUUGAGUUUACGUUCAAAAUUAUUUUAUUAGGAGAAUGUGGUUGAAAAUGAGUUUGGGGUGAUGAGUGUAAUUCACUCAUUAAACUAAAGCUUCCAAAUCACGUUUUUUGAUGUGUUCUUGGGCAUUUUGAACGUUUUGAUGUGUGUGUUCGUCUUAUUUUGCAGUUUGGACAACUCUCGAGAAAAUACCACUAUUGAGAGCCUAUGAUGAGCAAAAAUGAUGAUCAAUAAAAUGGAGCAUGAAUAAGCAAGUAAUGAAUAAGAUUGGAGUGGAAAAUAAGCUUGGAAAAUAAAGAGAAGAGAAGCAAAGCAUUGGCAUUGGCGCCACGGCACCGAAAAAGGGGCGCCAUGAGAGAUGAAAUUCCAGCAGAAACUUGGGCGCCACGGCGCCAGACCUGGACGCCAUGGCGCCUGUUAACAUGAGAAUCAUGGCGCCAUGGCGCCAUGCUUGGGCUCCGUGGCGCCAAAUCCCAAAACGUUAAAACCCGAAUUUUUAAUUAUCUUUUCGGCCCAAAAAUCAUACCCUAACCCUUGAAGACUCUUAGAAAAUAUAAAUACCAAGAUGAAGAACAAGAGAAGGGGGUUAGACGGCUGAAGAGGCAAGAAAAAGAGAGGCACCAAUUGAGAGAAGAUCGACCCGAUUUUGAAGAAGAAAAAGGGAGAAACUGAGAAAUCGAGCAACAAGAUUGAGAAAUAGAGCAGCAACCUGAGUUUUUUCUUAUCUUUCUCUUCUCCAUGCGAUUUAAUUUGUAUUUUAUCAUGCUUUUUUUCUCAAUCAUGAACUAAGUUAUUAAAUCUAGGGUUUGAUGUAACCUAUUUGAGAUAUGAUUCAAUUUCUUUAUAGUAUUUCCAUUUAAUUUUUCAGAAUUGAUUUGCAUUGUUCUUGCUUAAUACUUUCAGUUGCCUGAUCACCAAUGGAAUGAAUUGAUGUUCUAAAUUUGACGCUCGAGAGAGGGAAAUUUAGGCGUGAUCUAAGAACAAUAUAACCUAGGUUUGUAGGUUUCGAGAGAAAGCACGAAUCUUUGAGAAGAACCAAGUGCGUGAUAAUCUUUAUAUAUUUAAUUCGAAAUAGAGAUAUUGGGAUUAAAAUAUAGAGAUAGGUUCUAUUUGACGCUCGAGAGGGGGAAAUAGAAUUAAUUUAGGAUUCUUGCCUAUGAAUUCGGGAAAUAUCUAUAGGGAUUGAGAAUUAUGUCGAGAAUACGGUGAAAUCAUUCCCUAGACAUUACGUAAGUUGAUUUAGUCUUUAGAAAUUGCCUCACUUUUAUUGCACUAUUUAAUUCAUUGACGUUAGUUUAGUAUUCAAACAUUAAUUUAACACUCAAUUGUCUAGAUAAAGUAAAUGCGGACACAAUUAUAGUACUCAGUGGAAGUCGAAUAUCAAUCCCUGUGGGUUCGACACUUUUCAAUUCUUUAAUAUACUACAAAAUUUGACACCAUGCGCUUGCGGUAUAAAACACGUUAUAUAAAACGCGUGGCAAGUUUUUGGCGCCGUUGUCGGGGAUUGAUUCAUUCGAAUUCAAUUGAUAUUAUUACUAAUCGGCGUUCAUUUUACUCUAGAUUUUUAGUUUUACCGUUAUUUUUAUUUUACUCUUUUUGAGUCUAUCUUUAAAAGCUUCCUUGUGAUUAUUUUCAGCUGUUUAUGCGAAGGGCGAGAAAUCUAGAUCUACUACUUGUUGAUCCUGAAUCAGAACGCACAUUUCGCAUUCUCAGAGGCAUACAAAGAAACGAACGGGAAGCAAUGGCAGAACAGGGUGCUAGAGCAGUCAAUGAGGAUAACCAACAAAGGGCUAUUCGGGACUACAUAAGGCCGGUUGUCAAUGACAACUAUUCCGGUAUCGCACGCCCAGCAAUUGCUGCAAACAAUUUUGAAUUGAAGCCAGGGUUGAUACAUAUGGUGCAGCAAAAUCAGUUUGGGGGUGUUGCAGUAGAAGACCCAAAUGCUCAUCUUGGAUCCUUUUGGAAAUUUGUGACACGGUGAAGAUGAAUGGGGUUACUGAAGAUGCAAUUAGACUCCGCCUAUUCUCAUUCUCUUUAAGGGAUAAAGCAAAUGCUUGGUUCCAAUCACUACCGUAUGGCUCAAUUACAACUUGGGAUGAUUUAGCUCAGAAACUCCUCACCAAAUACUUUCCACCUUCUAAAUCAGCUCAACUUCACGGUGAAAUUAGCCAAUUCAAACAACUCGACUUCGAGCCAUUCUAUGAAGCCUGGGAAAGAUUUAAAGAUUUGCUUAGGAGAUGUCCUCAACAUGGGUUCCAGAAAUAGGUGCAAAUUGAGAUAUUUUAUAAUGGGCUAAAUGGGCAGAUAAGGACUAUGGUAGAUGCAGCUGCGGGAGGCAUUUUAAUGGCUAAAACAGCAGAGGCUGCAUAUGCUUUAUUGGAUGACAUAGCCACCAACAGUUACCAAUGGCCAAGUGAGAGAUCGGGUGUAAAGAAAGUAGCAGGACUUCAUGAAGUGGAUCCCAUCACCGCACUAGCAGCUCAGGUUGCAUCACUCACAAAUCAGAUAGUCACGCUUACCACUCAAGGAAAUCAACAGAAGGUAGAUUCAGUCAUAAGUACUUCUUCUUCACACCAAGAGACAGAUGUUGCAAACGAGCAGGCCCAAUAUGUCGACAGUAGAAACUACAAUCAAAGAGGAAGCUACCAAGCUAAUCACUAUCAUCCAGGGCUGAGAAACCACGAGAACUUGUCAUAUGGCAACAAUAGAAACACACUUCAACCUCCACCCGGAUUCAACACUCAGAAUUCUGAUGGGAAACCACCCUUGGAAGACAUCCUUGGGACGUUCAUUUUUGAGACAAGAUCACGCUUCAACAAAAAUGAAUUACGGUUGGAUAAUAUUGAAAUACAUGUGUCUAACAUGGGAGCCACAAUGAAGAAUCUUGAGGUGCAAAUUGGCCAAUUGGCUACCUCAAUGAAGUCUCAGCAAAAAGGAAAAUUUCCCAGUGACACUGAGGUUAACCCACGGGAACACUGUAAUGCGAUCACCCUAAGGAGUGGUAAAAUGGUUAAAGAAAGCAAACCUAAGAAGAUUAUGGUGCCUACGUCGGAUGUCAUAGUUACAGAGAAAAGGUAGAAAACUGAGGCAGAGGGUACAAAGAUCUAUAAGCCUUACUCGAUCUCAUUUCCGGACAACCCACCAAUCUUGAAGCCUUCACUACCAUUCCCGCAGAGGUUCAUGAAGAAGAAAUUUGAUGACCAAUUUGCAAAAUUCUUGGAAGUCUUCAAGAAAAUCCACAUCAACAUUUCCUUUGCAGAAGCUUUGGCCCAAAUGCCUAACUACGCCAAAUUCUUGAAGGAAGUGAUGUCAAAUAAGAAGAAGCUGGAGGAGUUCGAGACAAGUAAGCUAACAGAGGGGUGUAGUGACAUACUUCAGAAGCUCCCUCACAAAUGGAAAGAUCCGGGCAGCUUCAACAUCCUGUGCAAUAUUGGUGGUAUCACAUUUGAUAGGGCACUGUGCGACCUUGGAGCUAGUAUAAAUCUGAUGCCCCUAUCAGUUUUCAAAAAGCUGGGUCUUGGAGAAGUGAAGCCCACAACCCUCACUUUGCAACUGGCGGACAGAUCGAUUACAUAUCCCAAAGGCAUGAUUGAAGAUGUAUUGGUGAAGGUCGAUAAGUUCAUCCUUCCUGUGGACUUUGUGGUGUGGGACAUGGAGGAGAACGAGAAAAUACCGUUGAUUCUUGGUCGACCUUUCCUAGCUACUGGAAGAGCAUUGAUUGAUGUCCAGGAAGGAAAAUUGACACUGCGGGUUAAUGAAGAGCAUGUGACUUUCAACAUCCAUCAAGUAGAAAGCCUCAAGAAAAAGUCAACAUUUGCAAUAUGGCCCAAUCGGCUGAAGCAGUUUUAGGUCACAAAGAAAAAAAGGAAGUGUUCUAUGACCCUUUAGAACAAUAUAUGGCUCUCAAUUACUUAGUAAGGGAUGCAUCUACUGAUGGCAAAUACUCGGGAGCCGAAGAAGUAGUGGAUUUCAUAUUCACCAAAGAAGCUGAUCCACUUGACAAAAAAGAAGGCUAUGUGGCUAGGCCUUUGAAACCUCCAAACAUUGUCAAACCAAAAGAGGUUUUGAAGGCUACACCGAGGUUCAAAUCGCCUGAUUUUAUUGGUCAUGCUACGGUGAAGGAAAAUGCAAAGCCGAGGGUAAAAUUCAGAAACAAGAAAGAUGCUCCACCCGAAGAUCCACUGUAGACACCUUGGUUGAGUCAAGCUAGUGACUAUAAAGAAGUGCUUCUUGGGAGGCAACCCAAGCUUUCAUCUUUAUUUAUUUAUUCUGUUUUUGAAUUUUAGGAUAAUUUAUUUUAUUUCAGACUUGUUAUUUAGGAAUUCAUCAACCCUACCCGUCCCUUAGGUUUUUGAAAAAUCAAGUUGGUUAUCGAUAUUUGAGCUAAGUACCACUUGUUCCAUGAGUUUAAUAUCUACAUUGUGAUUUUUCAGGAACAUGACGUCGCAGAUCAAUCAAACAACAUUGACAAGGAGAAGCUGGAUAAAUCUCAAGUUUGGGGGGAAAGCUAGAAGAAACAUCCAUCAAAUUCAACAUUAGUGCACCAAAUCAUCGUUGGCAAUUCAGACAAUUCAGGGAAGUCCUCAUAUUUUUCUUUUAAUUUAACAUUGGGGACAAUGUUUAGUUUAAGCUUGGGGGGAAUGUAUUAUAAAUUGUCUAAUUGCCAAAAUUUUUGGUUUUGUUUGAUUUGUGUGUUUUUUUUUAUUAUUUGUUAUUUAUUUAUUUAAUUUUUAUUUGUGUGCAUUGUCAAAAAAAAAAAUUUCGUGUUUUGCAUGCUUGUGUGAGUUAGAUAGCCUUGCUGGCGAUGAUGUAUAAUAUUAAGAACAUGUAUUGGUUCAUGAAUUAUGGAUAAGUUAUAUGUGUGAGUUAGAUUUUUGCUUAUUCGUGUGAAACGGAAAUUAUUUUUGCACGUGGAUUGAUUGUAGCGUUGUACAUGAGUAGGUUGAUCCAUGUUUAUAGGUUGAAUAAGAGAACUUAGAUACUAAAUCCAAACAACCUUUAAACAUUAUUAUACCCUUAGACCAAAUAUAGGCUGUUCGAUAGGUUAAGCUGUUGCAGGAAAAUUUGGAUUCGACACUUUUCAAUUCUUUAAUAUACUACAAAACUUGACACCGUGUGCUUGCGGUAUAAAAUCACGUUAUAUAAAACGCGUGGCAUGGGGAAAAUUGAAUUUUUACAUAAUGGGACUCAAAAUAGGAGUUAAAUUGUUAUAUUAAUUUAUAUUAUAAUAAAUAAAACUGAAAAUAUUAAAGUUGCACUAAUGUGUAAAAAUGAAAAGACUACAAAUCAACUUAAUGGCCCAGCCAAAUAUAUAAAGCCCAUUAUUUACUUGAUGAUAAGUCCUUUAAUAGACUUAUCUUUCAGCACAUUUUUUACAUAAAAAAAUCCGACGCGGGAUUCCUUUCAUGUUUUUAUAGUCAAAGUAUUGGAGCUUUAGUAAUGGAUUCCUUUUAUUUCAAUUUGAAAAACUUCAAUCACAAUAGAGAAGGAAGGUCUACAAAUAAUGUAGUUAUGUUUUUUUCUCAAUUAUUCAAGUAUUUACUUUUCAAAAUGAAUAAGAAACAUAUGUGUUGCAAGGACCUUCCUUCUUUAUUAUUUCUUAUUCAUUUUGAAAAGUAAAUUGAAGCUUUUGUAUAGCGUGUCUGAUACUUACACCGUUUUUUGUAGCGUGGAGCUUUCUAUUCACAAGAUGCAUAGUUUGCUAUCUCAUAUCCCCGCUAUAGAAGCUUCAAUUGAUUAUUCGGACUAUGAAAUGUGGAAUGAUUCAGGUAAUAUUUUUGAUUUUCUACUUGAUGCUAAAUCUCACAUUUCAUUGUCCCUUAGAUUAUUUUUCAUCAUCAUUUAGUACAAAUUGUAAGUAACACACUCUGUUUCUUGUAUUUGAAUCAAGGAAGAAAACGUUGUGGUGAAUGCAACUUCAUCCACCUAAGUUUUAACCAAUGGGCUUGCAUGAUUAUCGUUGGUGGUGUUUGGUCACAUGAAAAUUUUAGUUUGCAAGAAUUAACUAUAUCGUGAUAUCUUUAGUAGUCAAGAACGAUAAUUACACCAUGCUACUAGCAGUAGAAGACAGUGGAUGGUUUCCUUUGGAUUUCUGCAGUAAUUUUUGUUGUUAACAAUAAUUAUUAAGUGCUUUUAUAAGCAGAUAGAAAUGAGUGGUGAUAAGUGAGUGGUGCUUGUGUGUCACAUGAAAUAUGUUGAUAAAGUGUGUUACUUGUGGAAAUGCUCAGGAGAUAUUUUGUAAAGCUUCUGAAUUAUUGCAUUGAAGAGAAGGGGUCACUUGAUCGAGGAUAUUGACAAGUCACUUGAGUGAGAUCAUACAGAAUUUUGUUUUGGAGAUAUUACUCUCUGGAGGAUCAUAACAGUAUCUCAAUAUUUUGUAAUUGUCUUUUAACAAUUGAG